GUAGGGAAUAUUGGGCAAUGGUCGGAAGACUGACCCAGCCAUGCCGCGUGCAGGAAGACGGCCCUCUGGGUUGUAAACUGCUUUUAUCUGGGAAGAAAAAGGCCAUGCGUGGCAAAUUGCCGGUACCAGAUGAAUAAGCACCGGCUAACUCCGUGCCAGCAGCCGCGGUAAUACGGAGGGUGCGAGCGUUGUCCGGAUUUAUUGGGUUUAAAGGGUGCGUAGGCGGCUGAUUAAGUCAGCGGUGAAAGACUUCGGCUUAACCGGAGCAGUGCCGUUGGUACUGGUUGGCUUGAGUGUCGGAGGGGUACAUGGAAUUGAUGGUGUAGCGGUGAAAUGCAUAGAUACCAUCAGGAACACCGAUAGCGAAGGCAUUGUACUGGCCGACAACUGACGCUGAUGCACGAAAGUGUGGGGAUCGAACAGGAUUAGAUACCCCUGUAGUCC
rnacentral:rRNA from 1 species